rnacentral:rRNA from 1 species
AGCGAACGCUGGCGGCGUGUUUUAGGCAUGCAAGUCGAUCGGCAGCAGGUCAGUACCAAUACUGAUGCUGGCAAGAGGCGGACGGGUGAGUAAUGCACAGGAAUCUACCUAAAGGACUGGGAUAGCCGAGGGAAACUUCGGGUAAUACCGGAUGUUAUCGAGAGAUCAAAGGCGGGUUAAACCGUCACCUUUAGAUGAGCCUGUGUCCCAUCAGGUAGUUGGCGGUGUAAUGGACCACCAAGCCGAAGACGGGUAGCUGGUCUGAGAGGAUGGUCAGCCACAAGGGAACUGAGACACGGUCCCUACUCCUACGGGAGGCAGCAGCCAAGAAUCUUCCGCAAUGGGGGAAACCCUGACGGAGCGACGCCGCGUGAAGGAUGAAGGUCUUCGGAUUGUAAACUUCUUUUAUCUGGGAAGAAUAAGUCUGGUAGGAAAUGAUCAGAUGAUGACGGUACCAGAGGAAUAAGCCCCGGCUAAUUACGUGCCAGCAGCCGCGGUAAUACGUAAGGGGCGAGCGUUGCUCGGAAUUACUGGGCGUAAAGGGCUUGUAGGCGGCCUUAUAAGUCGAAUGUGAAAAACCGGGGCUCAACCCCGGCGCCGCGUUCGAAACUAUGAGGCUUGAGUCUGGUGGAUGGUAGUGGAACACCCGGUGUAGCGGUGAAAUGCGUAGAUAUCGGGUAGAACACCGAAGGCUAAAGCAGCUAUCAAUGCCAAGACUGACGCUGAGGAGCGAAAGUAUGGGGAUCAAACAGGAUUAGAUACCCUGGUAGUCCAUACUGUAAACGAUGUACACUAGGAGUUGGCGGUCUCCGUUAGCUCCGUAGCAAACGCAUUAAGUGUACCGCCUGGG